rnacentral:rRNA from 1 species
CGCUGGCGGACUGCUAACACUGCAGUUUAACUGGAGCACGGGAGCAUCUGGUGGUAGUGGCGAACGGGUGAGUAUAUAUCGGAACGUGCCCAGUCGUCGGGGGAUAACGCAGCGAAAGCUGUGCUAAUACCGCAUACGAUCUACGGAUGAAAGCGGGGGAUCGCAAGACCUCGCGCGAUUGGAUGCUGGCCGAUAUCAGAUUAGCUAGUUGGUGGGGUAAAGUGCCCACCAAGGCGACGAUCUGUAGCUGGUCUGAGAGGACGACCAGCCACACUGGAACUGAGACACGGUCCAGACUCCUACGGGAGUGCAGCAGUGGGGAAUUUUGGACAAUGGGCGCAAGCCUGAUCCAGCAAUGCCGCGUGCAGGAUGAAGGCCUUCGGGUUGUAAACUGCUUUUGUACGGAACGAAACGGUGAGCUCUAAAUAAAGUUUGCUAAUGACGGUACCGUAAGAAUAAGCACCGGCUAACUACGUGCCAGCCAGCCGCGGUAAUACGUAGGGUGCGAGCGUUAAUCGGAAAUUACUGGGCGUAAAGACGUGCGCAGGCGGUUAUGUACAGACAGACUGUGAAAUACCCGGGACUCAAAACGACCU